rnacentral:rRNA from 1 species
UACGUAGGGUGCGAGCGUUGUCAGGAAUUAUUGGGCGUAAAGAGCUCGUAGGCGGUUUGUCGCGUCGGCCGUGAAAUCUCCACGCUUAACGUGGAGCGUGCGGUCGAUACGGGCAGACUUGAGUUCGGUAGGGGAGACUGGAAUUCCUGGUGUAGCGGUGAAAUGCGCAGAUAUCAGGAGGAACACCGGUGGCGAAGGCGGGUCUCUGGGCCGAUACUGACGCUGAGGAGCGAAAGCGUGGGGAGCGAACAGG